rnacentral:lncRNA from 1 species
AGUGCCAAUUGUCAUGUCUGACGAACCAUGCUUCCAUGCCCCUGAGGGCUUACAGACUUGGCUGUGUGCCACCUUGGUGGAUUCCUUACCUAAGGCCCUCGCUGCCCUCCAUGGGGACGCUCCACCCACCCCACCGGGAUCUAUGCCCGGAUCCUCUGGCGCACUGGACUCUGACUCAGGUGGCUCCCAACACUCUGCAUAUAUGGGCUCGGUGCACAAGAGGCCUUGGAAGGACAACAGUGCUCCCACAGACAAAGGAAAGAUGCUUGCCAAUUUGGCAAGAUUGGUACCCGGAUCAGGCGGUCGCUUGGAUGAGGACGCAUUCUCUGGAGCACCAGGCUACGACAUACUGGAUGAAGAUUGUUCCUGCUCGGGUUCCACAUCAACCGGCGAAGGUGUUCCUGACCAUCGUUCAUGGUAUGUGCAGGACAUGAUGUUGGACUCUCCUCUGGCCAGCUCGCAAGAAGCCCCUGCUGCUCCUGCUGUUGACUCCAGCAAGAUCUUAGACCCCUCGUGUGGUGUAUCACCAAAUUAAUAUAUAUAUAUUACACAAGGUUCGUCUACAUUAAAAGGUAUUUAUUAAAAGGCAACAACACAAUACUAUAAAUGUAUCACAAACACACAGCCCAGACCCACAGAGCAACAACCCUUUUUAAAUCUAUCUAUCUAUAUAGUAACCCCUUCCCCACACGCUUGAUCUCACCCACGGUUAGGCCUUCACAUCUAGUAAUGGCUCACUGCUGCAAGUUCAACAUCACAUCCACCAAGGAAGAAAAGGAAGCAACAGAGAGUAACAUGGCUCACCAUGCUAGCACAUGGCAUCUGCACAUCUGCUCUGCAGCACAGCCAAGAAGGAACAGAGAGGAAUGGAGAAAGGGGGAAGUGGUUCUCUCUCUCCUGACUUGUAAAGGUAUUGUAUUACACAAUUACCAUUUCAAAGGGUAAAGCUUAUCCCAUUGUAGCUUGGUCACAUGACCCCUGGUCACCAUAUUAGUUUGAUGACAGAAUGUUACCACAUUCCCUCACUUUUUCUUCUCUUAUGUUGAGCACAUUUAAAAAUAAUAAUAUAUCCCUCUUAUCUAUCUAAACUAUGAGAUCUGAAGUAUGAAAGGGGAGCACAGGAAUUAUAGUGAGUGAUAUAAGCAAGGUGAAAGAAAAGUCAAAUAGGGGUUGCAUCACCCCACAUUCCCCCACUUUUUCUUAUUCUAUGUUGCUCCAUUAUCUAGUUAUCCCUCUAGUACAAGAGAACCUAGUGGGAGCAAAAACCUGAUAUACAGGAGAAAUUCAACCCACCGUCCCUCCGGAAUAGUUCCCUCAGCGACAUAAGUUCUCCUGUACUUUCCUAUGGCUGUCAAUUCACAUAUUAUACAAAGUGUCACAAAAAAACAGAACUUAUAGAAUUUAGGUGAGAGUGUGCAAUGUAAAACUUUAUUGAAGAAUGUAUGAGAGAGCGAGAAAGAGAGAGAGAGAGAAACAAAAAAGAAACAAACAAACAAAAAAAAAUCCCCCUUUUCAAGUUUCUUCCUCAUCUAUUUCAUUGCCACACAAAAGUAUACUAGCGGCAAAGUUUGUAGGACUGGAUGUGAUAUUUGCAGAAUUCCAUACUCUCAAUCCAGUUCCGACUCCUCCCAGUAGAGCUGUAAAUUGUCCCAUUUUUCCUGACACCCUGCUUUGCCUAAAACACUGUCGCCGUUGUUCCGGACACCUUGGAGGAAUAGAAGGAUUAUUAAAAUAUAGACUGUAAACUUCUCCCUUAUUUGGAGUAUCUUCUGGCCGUAUUGCCUGUCUCCCAUCCCUACUGUGAUACAGAGUAUACUUAUCCAUCCUGUAACAAGGAUCCACUACGAUCUUCUGUUGACACACAUCAUCAUCCUAAUACAGCUUUGCCUUGCUCCGUGGGAACACUAGAUCUCAUCAUUAGAAAGGAAUAGCUAAAUGGGAGACUGGAAGACUGAGAGAAAGAACAAAACAAAAGAAAAACAAACAUACAUACGGAUGUAGAGAGCAACACAAAAUUAUGUGUGUUAUUGAUUGCUGGGACCCCCCAAUUGGUCAAUCUUUUCCUCCUCUCUCAACUGUCCCCUCAGCGCUUUCACGUCUGCCUCCAAUCUUUCAGUCUGUCUCUUUAGGUCCCAGUAGUCUCUAUUCCCUUCUUUAUUCCUCCAAUUAUCCCAAUUCCGUCUAUUGGUCUGACGCUCAUCCCAUCUAUGGUUCCUUCUCCAAUUAUUCUCCCAAUAACUGUUCCUGUUGUUUCUCUGUUUUUCUCCCCAAUUGUGAUUUUCCCAGUUAAUAUCUGUCCUUUUUAGCCUCUCCCAGGUAUUUUUAUUAUUCCAAUUAUUAUUGAUUACCUUAGGCCCCUCCCAUCUAUUCCUCCAAUUAUCUCCCAUUACAUUCCUAUGGUCCCUCUGUGGAUCUCUCCAUCUUUUGUCAAAGUCCUGUUUUGGUCUCCAGUUCUCAUUAUCCCUCUUGUUCUGGGGUACACCCCACCUCUGGCUUCUCCAUUUACCAUCUAUAUCUCUACCAGAGUCGACCUUGAAUGUUCUUAUGGCUGAGACAGAGAAGGCCUGUUCUGAGGAAGGAUGCUUGAUCCACCAAUUGUCAGCUCUAGUUAGUACCAUUUCUAAGUCUGCUGGUGUUGGAUCAAAAAGCCUCACAAAUUCUUGACACUCCCAGGGAAGGGCUUCCAUUACUUUAGUAAUAUGUUGUGGUGAGCCCAAGACCAGAGGCUGUUGAGGUUGGCGUAGCGUAUACCAGAACAAUAUCCUUUGAGCUACCUCUCUAGGACCAUCUGCUGGCCUCAUCAUAAUAUUAACUAUUUCUUUCUCUAUGCUGAGUAGAUAGAAAAUCGUUGCAGCAAUUCUUCCUGCCUGGUCAGACACACUGUUAUUAAAUCCAAAUAGUCUGCUAGCCAAAGGACCCAUGCAUAUUCUAACAGUUCUGUCCAUUCUUCUAAGUUAAAACCUCCUUUUUUUGCUCUAUUUUCUCCCCUCAUAAACCAAUGUGUAAAGGUGUUAACGUCGUCAGUUGGCAUACUUCCCCACCAUUUCUGGAAAUGUUCUUUGUCUGUGAUUGACAUAGUCCUUGUCUGUCUAGAGAAGCUAGUAGGAAUUUCUCUUACAUUAAAAUGUUCCGUUAUUAUUAUAGGAGCUUGUGGGACACAAUUAACAAUUGGCACAUUUCCCUUGUGUUUUGUUCCCAGCACUGGUUCUUUACUUUCAGAUAUAAAAUAAGACUGGUCUGGGCAUACUCUAGGAAUCUCUGUAUCCCAUUUAUUUGUGUUUUCUUUAAUUUUCAUUUUAUAUUCCAUGACUAGGUCUUGGACUUCAGUGAUCUUAGCACUAUAUGCAUCUCUCUGUUGUUCUAUUUCUCUUAACUCCUUUUCUAGUUCCCCAACAAUUGUAGUUGUUCUCAAAGCUGCAAUUUUUAAACAAUCCAUUUUGUCCAUUGCUUCCUCCAUUUUAUUUGUUGUUUCCAAAUUAUGCUGCCGUAAUUCUACAACUAUGUCUAUUAGGCCUCCUAUUGUGGCUACAACAGCUUGUGUGACCAAACUUUUUCUUUUCUUUGUUCUAUACUUUUUGUUAUUUACAAUUUGUGUUAGAACAUCCAUUAAUCUCUUCUCUUUUUCACUGUCUGGGUUUGCUGGCUCUGGAAGCUCAUAUGGACCAUCAUGUUUUUGAAUAUGUUUCCUAAAGUACUCACGCACUUCUGUGGAAAAGUAUUUGGCCCCUUGAAAAGACAUUCCUACUCUUUUAGUCACCCAAGUAAGAAUCCAAAUCAAUUUGCGACUAAAGUAGCACGCUUCUGAGUAGCCAACAAUAGUUGAUGACUAUUCAGUAGGUCAGGUGUAAUAUGUAGAAAAAUAGACUAGUACCCACAAUGCAAAUUAUACUUACCUUAGUAUGGUGAAGGUAAUACUUGCUAAUUAACUUCAACACCAGUAGUGCCUAUUAAAAUAUAAUAGCAAGGCCUGCAGGGUAGGAGAUAUACCUGAACUAGGAUAUGCAAGACACCCAAAAAGUAUAAGGUAUGGAAGCCUAUAGUGUAUUCAAAUGCAAGCCUGAAAUAAUAUGUAUAUAUAUAUAUAGAUAUAUAUAUAUAUUAAAAAAAAAUAAAAAAUGAUUUAUUAGUACGAUAUUAAAAUAAAAUUAAAAUGAAGGCCUGAAAAACUACUAGGCCUGAACUAUGGUAGUCAAAACACAAGAAACUCAGGUAUUUGAAACACACAUAAAAAACUAAUAUAUUCAAAAUUGAGGCCUGAUGCCCAAGUUUGUAUAUUAAAAUGGAGGUCUGCACUAGGAUACAAAGGAAUCAAAUUAGCAUUCAAAUACAAAAAGAAGCCGCAUGGAAGCCUACUAUAGUGUAUUCAAAUGCAGGGCUAGGCCUGUACUCUGAUAGUCAAAGCACAACAAAACUCAACUCAGAUAUUUGAAACACACAAAUAUAUUCAAAAUUGAGGCCUGAUGCCCAAGCUUGUAUAUUAAAAUGGAGGCCCAAACUAGACUCCACACACAAUCAGCCCUUGAUUUCCCAUGCAGAGGAUAAUUAAACAAAGUACUUUUUUUUUUUUUUUCCAAAAAAGAAAUCUGACUAUUACUGUGUUAUUACCUCAUAAAUAACCUUUGUAGAAGUCUAAAAUUCGUGGUCGCCAAAUAUGGUGUAUCACCAAAUUAAUAUAUAUAUAUUACACAAGUUUCGUCUACAUUAAAAGGUAUUUAUUAAAAGGCAACAACACAAUACUAUAAAUGUAUCACAAACACACAGCCCAGACCCACGGAGCAACAACCCUUUUUAAAUCUAUCUAUCUAUAUAGUAACCCCUUCCCCACACGCUUGGGUUCAUCAUCAAUGUAGAGAAGUCAGAACUGACCCCAUUUCAGUGGAUCUAGUUUCUUGGUUGUGUGGUGGAUUCGGUUCAGGCACUGCUAUGCCUUCCGGUAUCCAAGGUGGCUGCCAUGAGGAAGAACAUCAGAUACCAACUCCGCAAUCCGAGGGCCAUGUUAAGGGAUCUGGCCCAGACGAUAGGUCUGCUAUCUUCCUCCAUUCAAGCCGUCUUCACUGAACCCCUGCAUUACCGGGCUCGCCAAUGCCUGAAGGCUCGCUACUUUCACUCAUCCUCCUUCUACGACCAAAUUGUGCUGCUCUUGGAUGAGGCAGGUCUGGAACUCUAUUGGUGGCCUCGACACAUGGAGGCCUGGAACAGCAAGGCGAUAUUCGGAUCAAGGCCAGACUUCGUCCUGGAAUUGGACGCCAGUUGCCUAGGCUGGGCUGCUACUUGCGAUGGCGUGGCAACAGGAGGGCUCUGGACCCCGGAGGAGAAGGUUCUUUACAUCAACUCUCUGCAGCUGAUUGCAGGGUCUUUUGCCAUUCGCAGUUUCACCAAAGGAAAGAGUCACUGCUCAUUGCUUCUUCGCACAACGACAACGUCUCACCUGUCCGUUACAUAAACCAGCUGGGAGGUUCCCAUUCCAAACUUCUGUUGUAUCUCAAGAAGUACUGUCUGGACAGGAAGUUUUAGUUCAUGGCAGAAUAUCUGCUGAGACAAGACAAUCUUGUGGCGGACUGGUUUUCCCAACACUGGCAAAUUGUCAGACAGACUUGUUCUUCAACUGACUUCCGGAUCCCCUCAGUGUGGCACUGGACGCAUUCCUCCAAGAGUGGCCCCCAUGUGGGGCAUAUGCGUUUCCCUCCUUCUCCAUGAUUUUCCAGACGUUACAUUGGAUCAAGUUUCUGAGGGUGUCGCUUGUCCUGAUCAUGCCACUUUGGAGGAGCCAAACGUGGUUCCCUCUACUGCUGGAGUUUUCGUGCAAAGACCCGCUACUGCUACCUGUCUCCAAUUUUCUCCUGCGGGAUCCAGCAGGCAAUCCACAUCCGUUCAUAUUGGAGGAUCAUCUGUCCCUAGUGGCCUGGACCAUUUCCGUGGUUCAUGAGAUGUGUCAGGCCUGUCGACAACGGCUAGAGAGUUACUCUGGGAAUUUAGGGUGCCUGGCACCAGACGAUCAUAUCUGCACGCUUGGCGGUCCUGGAAUGGCUGGUUUCUGGAGAGACGUUUGGAUCCCUUUACGGCCCCUACCAUGGCUGUCCUGAACUUCUUGGCUAAAUUGUUUUCUCAGGGUAAGUCGUAUAGGACUACUAAUGUUUUCCGAUCGGCUAUCUCGGCGGCUCAUGUACCUUCUCAAGGCUCUGGUGUUGGUAGUGACCCUCAAUCUGCAGACUGCUCCAAGGUGUGCUCCUUUCGAGAUGGCCUGCUUCUCGCUAUUCCUCAUUUUGGGAUGUCUCGCUUGUUUUGUGUUUCCUUGAGGAAUGGUCUGAUAAUAGUGACUUGUCUCUGCACCAGCUUUCUGCUAAGCUGGCUCUGCUUUUAUGUCUUGUGUCCUUUCGUUGCAUUUCGGAUGUCUGUGCCUUUUACAAAGAAUCUUUUUUACCAGACGUGUGUCUGUUUCUAUCUCAUGCAGGACGAAAUCUAAUUUGUCUUCUGUGUCGUAUCCCUACUUUCCAGAUAGACCACGUCUCUGUGUGGCCCGUUGUCUACAGGCGUAUAUCUCAGUGACUUUGUUAUUUCAGCCUUCUGCCCAUGGGCAGCUAUUGAUUUCCUACAUUCGACCAUUUGGGUCUGUUUCUGCACCUACGAUCACUCGUUAGAUUCAAUGGCUUCUUUCUUCGGCUGGCGUGGCGAGUUCCUUUGGGGAGCAUUUGGUUCAAGGGGCUGCAUCUUCAGUAGCUCUAGAAACCAGUGGGUCCCUUACGGAUAUUCUCGGUGCUGUUGAUUGGUCUAGGGAAUCGACUUUCCGUAUUCUUCGUAAUGUAUGGUCCCAUGUUUUAUUAACAAAUACAUUUUCUGUACUACAGUUUUGGUUGUCCGUGUGCAUUUAUUUAUCAUGUCGUAUUCCAUUGAUGUACUAAUUGUGUAUGGUGAGACAUAUUUCUUUGGCAGUUUAUGUUCACAAUGUUUCUUUUUUCUUACAGUGUAAUCUGAAGUUGAUCUGGAUAUGGCGGUUUCUCAUCUGAGUGUGCCUGCUACAGUUGGAUUUGUUUGGUGCUCGACCUCACCAAAGAAAGAGGAAGUGGUUUUAUAGUGCUGUUAUUUUGCUCUGAUUGGUUGUUUUGAAAAGUUAUGUUAACUAUUUCUUUGCUGUUGGAGGUUUUCAGUAAAGAAG